CCCCCGCUUUACCUCCCUGAGCGGGGCCUUGGCAUGCCACGCAUGCCCAGGGCUUUCCCGCCCGGUCCCGCCGGGCUUCUUUUU
rnacentral:ncRNA from 1 species